rnacentral:rRNA from 1 species
AUUGAACGCUGGCGGCAGGCCUAACACAUGCAAGUCGAACGGUAACAGGGAGCAGCUUGCUGCUCUGCUGACGAGUGGCGGACGGGUGAGUAAUGUCUGGGAAACUGCCUGAUGGAGGGGGAUAACUACUGGAAACGGUAGCUAAUACCGCAUAACGUCUWCGGACCAAAGUGGGGGACCUUCGGGCCUCAUGCCAUCAGAUGUGCCCAGAUGGGAUUAGCUAGUAGGUGGGGUAACGGCUCACCUAGGCGACGAUCCCUAGCUGGUCUGAGAGGAUGACCAGCCACACUGGAACUGAGACACGGUCCAGACUCCUACGGGAGGCAGCAGUGGGGAAUAUUGCACAAUGGGCGCAAGCCUGAUGCAGCCAUGCCGCGUGUAUGAAGAAGGCCUUCGGGUUGUAAAGUACUUUCAGCGGGGAGGAAGGUGUUGUGGUUAAUAACCRCAGCAAUUGACGUUACCCGCAGAAGAAGCACCGGCUAACUCC